rnacentral:rRNA from 1 species
GUAGGUGGCAAGCGUUGUCCGGAAUUAUUGGGCGUAAAGCGCGCGCAGGCGGUCCUUUAAGUCUGAUGUGAAAGCCCACGGCUCAACCGUGGAGGGUCAUUGGAAACUGGGGACUUGAGUACAGAAGAGGAAAGCGGAAUUCCAAGUGUAGCGGUGAAAUGCGUAGAGAUUUGGAGGAACACCAGUGGCGAAGGCGGCUUUCUGGUCUGUAACUGACGCUGAGGCGCGAAAGCGUGGGGAGCAAACAGGGAUUAGAUACCCUGGUAGUCCACGCCGUAAACGAUGAGUGCUAAGUGUUAGGGGGGUUUUCCCGCCCCCUUAGUGCUGCAGCUAACGCAGUAAGCACUCCGCCUGGGGAGUACGGCCCGCAAGGCUG